AUUGAACGCUGGCGGCAGGCCUAACACAUGCAAGUCGGACGGUAGCACAGAGGAGCUUGCUCCUCGGGUGACGAGUGGCGGACGGGUGAGUAAUGUCUGGGGAUCUGCCCGAUAGAGGGGGAUAACCACUGGAAACGGUGGCUAAUACCGCAUAACGUCGCAAGACCAAAGAGGGGGACCUUCGGGCCUCUCACUAUCGGAUGAACCCAGAUGGGAUUAGCUAGUAGGCGGGGUAACGGCCCACCGAGGCGACGAUCCCUAGCUGGUCUGAGAGGCUGACCAGCCACACUGGAACUGAGACACGGUCCAGACUCCUACGGGAGGCAGCAGUGGGGAAUAUUGCACAAUGGGCGCAAGCCUGAUGCAGCCAUGCCGCGUGUAUGAAGAAGGCCUUCGGGUUGUAAAGUACUUUCAGCGGUGAGGAAGGCGAUGUGGUUAAUAACCGCAUUGAUUGACGUUACCCGCAGAAGAAGCACCGGCUAACUCCGUGCCAGCCGCCGCAGUAA
rnacentral:rRNA from 1 species